rnacentral:lncRNA from 10 species
AAAAAUAAAUACAUAGAACAAAAACGUUCAUUAAAAAACAUGGAACAUCAGACCCCUUUCCCUGCUGCCAGGGUGCAGACUCCCCAGCUCCCUGGAGUGACAGCGGGUGAGUGACAAGGAGGGCUGUUUCCAUGGGCUUGGCCAGUGGCUCCAGGACAGCUGCCCAGGGCUCUUGCGUCACUGAGUGCACUGAACCCGGUACCUGGCCCACAGGCUGAGGGAUGGUGGUUUUGACUCGACAUGGGCUUGGGGCUGUGUGUAGUCAGUGAGGUCAAUGCACAGCUGUUGGGGGGACGGGAGGUCUUUUGUGGACCUGGGGACUGAGAUUCAGGAUGUCCUGACAGAGUGGGACUGGGGCUCUAAAUGGAGAUCUCUUCUUUGGAAAAUAAAAAAAAGAAAUAAAAAGCAAAUCUUUGCCCAACUCAUGCACUCUGGGUCCACUCUGGCUGGCAUUUCCCCUUUAAAUGCCUCAGGAACUGUGUAAAACGUUUCCACAACCACUUUCACUGCGGUGCAAGAAAAGAUCCAGGCCCUACACCAUCCACUGUCCAUUUUCAACCUGCUUUUUCCUCUUCUCCCUUAGCUGACUUACAGCUUACUGAUGUCCUGCUUGAACUGUCUUUUCUUCCUAGUUCUAACGUAGCAUCGUCUUUUCUCCCUAGUUCUAACGUAGCAUCGUCUUUUCUCCCUAGUUCUAACGUAGCAUCGUCUUUUCUUCUUAGUUCUAACGUAGCAUCGUCUUUUCUUCCUAGUUCUAACGUAGCAUCCCCAAUUUGUUGUUUGCUGGCUACCUGAUUAGGAGCUGUCCACCUGGUCCUGGCCUCCAGCUUCCAUCCUCAGGCACCGUUCCUGCAGCUGGAAGCCCCAGGAUACUCAGUCCUUGGCACUAUGGCCCCAGACUAUGCCCCUGGUUUCUCUCCUCUCCUUCCAGGCCACAGGGACUCACACACUUCAGUUCUCCUGGAGCCCUCCCUCUAUCCAGGAAUGGGAGAUGUGGCAUCGCUCCUAGCAAAGUGAGGCACACUGAGGCUUUGAUACUGGGGUUGAUGCAAUGGAGAUUUUCACAAGCCUUUAGGUGACUGUGCCAGUGGGAGGUUGGAUUGGUGGAUGCCAUCAUUCCUUUCAACAUCCUUAUGUCUGCACAGAGGCCAGAUCCCAGAGACUGAAACUGCAGAGGAAUAAAAGUAUAAGAUUUUUUAAAAGUCUUUUUGCAUAAAAGUUUCAGAGACCAAGUAAGGUUAUCAAAUAUUUGGGAUGAAGUGGUGCAUACAAAAGUGUGGAGAAAUUGGUCCCCCACAGGGUCCUCUCCAGCCCUUUCACCAACACCUCCCCACUAUGAGUCACAGGUAACUGGAACUAACAAGGCCUCUGAGACCAUCUCAAGUCACCUUUUUCUUUUAUCGAUGAAGAAUCUACAGGCCAGAGACAUGAGGGACACCCCUCAAGGUCGCACAGGGUGAAUGGAACCACCAGGGCUGAAACUGAGGUCUUCUGACUCUCAGUUGGCCUUCCUCCACGCACCCACCCCUUUUACCUCCCAGUUCUCAAAGCACCCAAAUCUCUGGGUCGCGGAAGAACAGAGUUUGGCCCUGGGAAGGCAAGGCUGCAGGCCAGGAUGCAAGCUGUAGCAGCUUCCAAGUUAGGCUGCAUGGUUUUAUGGAGAAGGACGUACAUGCUGAUGGCCUUCAUUGAUGUAGAACUAGUCCUGUGGGAACAGAGGCGGGAACGGUGGCUUCAGGACAAAAACUCCUCUGGUCAAAGAACUUUGAGAUUGACUGCCCUGAAAAGUGGUUGACCUUGUCCAGGCCGUGAGGAAGGUUAAAUGUGUACUCAUGAGACAUAAGCAGAGAUGGGCUAGCUCUUGUUAUACAAUCUGUAAGAGUUGCCCUACAAACUUGAGGUGCAAACACUGAUACAACGAAUUCAUUUUUCCAGUCAAAUGUUGACACUGUAGAUAUCGGUAGGGAAGUUAAUAUAUUAUCUACUUUUUUAGGUUUUCUCUAUGAAUUGUCUGAAGGUUAUCUGGGGCUUUGGAAGCUCAAAAAGGAAAUCGGUUCACUUCUACAAACAGAGACCUGAGGCCUAAUCCAAUGGUCUCGUGUCUCACCACCAUGUGGUGUCCCUGCUGAACACUGGUUCUGUGUUGUUUUCAGCCUGAGAAUAAAUUGUACUGGAAUGUUUCUUCCAGGAGCAGCUGGUGGGAUCCAGAUGCCUGUGUCUGGAAUGAUCAUUUUUCCAGGGAGGAAGACUCCAUCCUCUGGGCUGAGCUUGGGUAGGGACUGUCUAUCGGGCUCUUGUCUGCAACCUCACGCGUGGGAUCCCAGAGUUCUAGCUGGCUCCAGGAGGUUGUAGGGGCCAAGGCAGGAGAGUUAUCCUUUACCCUCUGAAGGUUGGCUGAAAAACCAACUCACAAAAGUCAGAAUGAUAGGAGAAAAGGCACACAAAUUCAUUUAAUGUGUGUACAUGGAGGCCUUCAGGAUGAAGAUCUAAAGUUACAGGGGAAAUUGUCCAUUUUUAUGCUUAGGUUCAAUGAAGUAUAGACAAUCACACAGAAAGAGGAUUGGACAAAAGCAGUCUGAUCUAAUGCUAAUAGACUGAGUGGGGAGACCAGCCAGGCCUGUCUGUCUAGAUUCUCCCUGGCUUCUCACAGCAGCAACCCCCUUUCUGGGUAAGGGGCAGAGCUCUCUCUGGAAUGGGGGUCUUAUGACCUACUGUCAAACAAGGCAGGUAAGAUCAUUUCUUUGUGGCCAGUUUGUACACACAUAGGGUAGAGAAAAAGUUAGAGUCAUAUUUUAGGUUGUAUGGCUGGCUUUGGGGAAAAGGGGCUUCUGAUAACUAUGACCUGCCUUGGGGAAGAGGGAUUCUGGUUUCUAUGGCCAGCUUCAGGGGAGAAUACGACUGAGAGACAGGAGGGGAGAAGGUCAGAGAGAAACUCUUACUUCUGAGGUUGCUUCUGAGGCCUUCUGGGGUAUUGGUUUCUGAGCUCCAACAAGGUCAAGGUUGAGGACUGAACAGGUUUUGGGAUCUGGUACCUCUAAACCCAGAGCCACAGACCCCUUAUUCUUAGAGAGCCAUCCUAAGGGUUGGACAGUUUUUCUCUUAAGCUCUCAAAAACAAACAAAAACAACAAUAAUGCCCAGACAUGAAGCCUAAAGACAGACACACUUAGUCUAGGGUAGGACUCGGGUAUCGACAUGGAAAGACUUCUCUGUAAUUUUAAUAAGCAUCUAAGGUUGUGAAUCAUUGCUCUUCAAGAAUAGGACACAAUGGGGCACUCUGCCAAAUUUAUUACAUAUCCCUACAUUUUACUCCUUGUGCCUGUCAGAAGAGCUUAUAGAUGAGGUACUUCUCCAGCCAGGUUUUCUUGCUCAGUGCUCGUGUGAUGGGUCCAGGUAGCCAACCCAGAGAGACACAGGCCUUUGGCGAGAUCGACAACAUCAUCAAUUACAUUGGAGCUGUGUCAUGAGCUGACUGGCUGGCUAAGGAGGAUCUUCUUGUUUUCAAAGUGUUCACCUGGCUUUCUUCAUAGGAUAAAUAUUGUUUUCUAUUAUCAUUAUUAAAUGAAGGCAGAUGCACUUUUUCCACCACACAUGCAAGGGAAUGAAUAGCUGUGAAUUCUCUCAGAGGCUGUUGGAGGGGCCCCAAGUCUGCCUCCCGCUGUGCUCCCCACCCCAGCCAGCAGGGGUGUGUGGAGCCCAGGGCAGCUGCUGCAGAGUGAAGUGGAGAGGGCAGAGGAAGAAAGAGAAAGGGCUGAUAGGGAGUGAUGCGGUGGCUGAAGAAAAAAGAGAAAGAGACAAGGGGUAGAGGCAAGCGGCAAAGAGAAAUAGAAGGAGAAGGAGGUACAGGAAAACCGGAAGGAAUGAUACCUAACUUGGUCUUAGUACUUUGCAGUUUUGCCAGGUUUAUGACUGUGUUUGACACUCUACAUGGCCCUUGGAGGUAAACAGGGUAAGUGAGGUUGUUACUAUGUCAUUUCCAUGAAGAAGCUGGAAUUGUGGCGGGAUGUUGAGUCAUUUUACCUAAAUGCCUAAAGCAUGUCUCAAAAGAAUGGAGGUGAGGCAUUACUGCUGUCUACAAAAUUUGAAACGGCCUUGUGUAGAGAAGGCUGAGCUUUAACUAAUCAUUCUCCUCCUAUGUGGAGGAGGCACUCUACACGCAUAAACUUACUUAGUCCUCACAAUAGCCACUUUGAGGUAGAGAUUAUUAUUCUUGUUGUUCAAAUGGGGACAAAUGACUGCCCAAGAGCACAUGGCUGCUGGGAAGGGUGAGCCCAGGUCCCCCAACUCCUGUUUUCCUCAUAUGACCUCCUAUGAGUGGACCAGAACCUAUUGCUCCAGGGUAGUGGGAGAUCCAUUUCAGAUCAGUCCAACGAGAAGUCCUUGCCUCAGAACUGCUCAUGGAUGAAAGGGUACACUGGGAAGAACUGGGUUCUUGGAAGGAUCCAAGCAUAGGCUGGACAAGCUGUUGCCUGGAAUGUGGGGUCAGAUGUUCCCGCCAUAGAUAGAUGGGGAGACCAGAUGCCUUUCCUCCCCAUCCUGGGAGCCUUCGCCUUGGGAAAGUGUCCUGGAGUGCAUUUCUCCAGGCUUGUGUUGGGCAUCUGAGCUGGGACUAGAGGGUGGGUGUCCUGAUGCCUGCUGAGAGCACCUUGUACUUCAUCUGGAGGCACUCAUGAAAGCAAAGGAGAAAAGCAAAUGCUGGGAGGAACACAGGAAGGAAAACAUAGAAGUAGCUCAAAGAUCCCAGAGAAGAAGAAAUGUGGGGAGACGCGGGCACACAGGCAGGGCGUCUGCACCGGCAGGGGCAGUGUUCGUACCCCCUACCCCCCAUCUCGAUACUGAGAUAGGAGGACUCUCUUCUUAAAGUUGUUUGUUUUUCUUAGUUGACUGGGAAAUUUCACCUUUAGUAAUUCCUUCUGUUGGGCGUUAAGAUCUCAGUUUAUCAGAAUAUGCUGGUUAAAAUGCAGAUACCUCUGGGAGAAGUAACACAAGGUGUCACCUGGAGGCACUGUUUCAUCAGUUUCUUUCCCCAAAAGACAGCAAAGUGGCCUGGAAAUGGAACUCAGACUAGAGGUGGCGGGGCAGGGAGGCGAGGACGGGGCAGGGAGGCGAGGACGGGGCAGGGAGGCGAGGACGGGGCAGGGAGGCGAGGACGGGGCAGGGAGGAGGGUUCCAAAGAAGCACGUUGCUGAUUUCUAAGCAUCACUCCUUGUGAGGACCAAGAAGGAAUAUUUUUGCUACUCUCACCCUGACUAAAGUGGUUCUCAAGUAAGUCUGGGGUCCAAAGCAUUGAGGAGACCCCGGGGAGAGUUGUCAGAGGGUCUCAGAGGAACCUAGCUCAGGAGGAGAGGCCGAGGCAAUCAAGAUGGUUUAUCUCUACAAAGAGAAGGCUGAGGGGAUACCUAGUGUCUUCCUUUAAAUAUCUGAAAUUGUUCUUGAGAGCGGCUGGUGAAGAUUCCACUUAAAACCUCGGGAUCAAGGACUUCUCUCAAGCAUGAGGAAGUGCUCCCUUCUCCAGAGGGAUGCAAAUGCUGGCGUGGAGUCUGCAGGGGGCCUGGCUGCUUCUGGGACAUGGUGAGUGUGGGGAGAGGUCCCGGCUCUGCCGGAUGACCAGGCACAGCCCUGCCAUGGAGGCCUCCCAGCGGGGCCUGGGAUCCAUCUCGGCUGCUGGCCCAGCAGAUUCUCUCCCGUGCUGCUGCUGUGGUAAGUUACCCAAGCACAGAGGUGGGUUUCUGUGGGGGCCGGCGUUGGGACCCAUGCCAGACUGAUGGUGUAGAUAAGAGGAAGUGUGACUCCAGCAGAGAGCAUCAGCUUUGCUGUAGGACUGCCCCAGCUUCCAACCUCAUUGCACCACUUGGCUCCGUGACUCUGAGAAACUUACUAACCUCUCUUACCUUGUUAUCCCAUGUGUUAAAUGGCAGCAAUGAUAGCCCCUUCCUCAUAGGGCUGUUGAUAGCCAUAUCCCAGCUGAGGACAGGAGGUGAGGCUGAGAACAGUCCCAGCACUCAGACAUGGAAGCAGCGCUACUGGGAGGCUUGAACAUCCACUGUCUCUCCAGUCUCUGGACUAGCUCCUCCGUGCCCCCAAGGCUGAUGUGUCAGAGAUGAGAUGUGAGACCUCAGCCCCUCCCGCCCCUGCUGCCUGGCUGCCACUUUGCAUGCAGCUUUGGUCUGAACCCCACCUGCUGCUCCAGACCACAGCUGGGCCCAGCCCACGUCCUCCUUCUUCCUUGGUGAGGAGACGGAUAUCUUUCCAUCAGCCUGGCCAAGGAGGGGUGUAGCAGCAGGUUGUCCUGGGGAGGGAAAGGCUUCCGGUAGCCCUCCCUUCAUCCCCCUUUCCAUACCUCAAAACCACCAGCCCUCAACCAGGAAGCCCUAGGUCUUCCUUUCUGUCUUCCAAAGAAGAGGAGGACAGGGACAGAGGCAAACAACAGCCGCAGCCACCACCCUCCCAGCCUCACUGUCUUUGCUUGAAAGCAGGGGCAUAUAAAAAUAAAAAAUAAGGAAGACUAACCUUCUGGCCAAUCUCAGUUUAGAUACCCUGCAAUUAAACAAAUCCACAAACCCGCAACACAUAUUUACAUCUCAUUAGCAGAAGCCAAAUGCAACAACGGCAUUAAAAUUAAGAAAUGAGGCACAAUUAUCCCGUCGGCGGCAGUGGGGAAGCCGUCAAGGGCUGGUUUCUUCAUUAGUUUGCUCAGAAGUUCAGCAGCUCCCUAAUUGUGGGCUGCUAUUUUUUACCCCCUCCUCCUCCUGCUUAAAAAAAAUUGUCUGAGGUUUUAUUUUUCUGCAGUGCAGCAGCUUCGAUGGGGGGGGGCCAGCAGGGCCCAGGAAGCUUGGAAGAAGUGCUGUCUCCUCUCUGGCCUCUGUAACCUCAGCCCCCAGCUGGGCCUGGCUGAGUGGCAGUGGCUGGGGGUUAGGAAGGCCUGGGGAACACCGGGUGGUGGUGCCCACAGAUCCCAGUGGACUCCCAGGGAGGGCUCUCGACCGCUCACAGCCUGUACUGCUGCCAUGGGGCUGGAGCUCCCUGGGGCCAGCUGCAUCUCAGGAAUGCAUCCUGCUUCCCUUGGGCAGGCAGCUGUCCCAGGCACAGCUCUCAGGCCGGCUCUGCUGGCCCUCAGUGGGCCUUUCAGGAAUGUGUGUGGGGUGGUGAAUGAGAAUGUUCUGGUCAUAGCCCUUUAGUGCAGGUGAGGGGGGAUUCGUGGGGCCCCAGGCUGUGCCCAGGUGGGUAGGCUUGGGCUCCAAGGGGGGUUGAAGAGCACUGGCCAGCUCCAGGGAGAGGCUUUGCCUGGAGCGCCCUCCUUUCUGGAGGGAGUCUUGUAGUGGCUGGCACUAAAAUUGCACAGAGCCUUGGUUUUCUCAGCUGUCAAAUGGCAUAAGUGAGACACCUUCCUCCUCCCUCAGGGCUGCGUUUUGAGGUGCUUUGCGAGUGUCCAGGCUUGUUUUAUUGUUGUCCAGCCUCUCGGUCCCCACUGGGAAGCCUGGGCGCUCUCCAGGGCAGGCCCGUCAGCUGGGAGAGCAGGGUUGGUCGGUGCCCUCAGGGCGGUUUGCCUCUCCCUAUCAAAGUGGAGGUUUCACAGGCUUCCAAGUUACUGAGCUAUGGAUUUUCCUAGAGUCUCCAGGUGAAGAAUUUUGUAAAUAUUCUACUUUAUUUAAUAUUUGUGUCAAAUCAGUACUUACAAACACACAUUUCAAACAUAACUAGAAAUAAAUUAUUUUAGGAUAUUAAUCAACAAACCAUCAAAUGCGACAUUAAUUUAGUGACUGUUACAGGGACUGCAAAGACGUCCUGCCCCUCUUCCACACUGCCACACUCUGCAUGUUACAGGGACUGGAGAGACUCCCUGCCCCUCUUCCACACUGCCACACUCUGCGUUAGAGGCUGCUGCCAUUUGGAACGGCUGAUGAUGAAGGGAUCUCACCCCAGGAUUUUCUCACAUCAGGGAUGCAGCAGCAGGAAUGGGACUGAGGGAGACAUAGAGCUCCCUAAUGCUGAAUCUCUUCCCUGUGCUGAAGAAAACUCCAGACCUCCCAGCCACUGGAACUAAAAUUGGGUAAUUUUUCUCCGAGACAUUGGAAAUAAUUUCUAAUAUUUUUCAGCCAGUGAAAAAGGCCAGAUAAUUCUCUUUCUCUUUUCCCAUCACCCACACAGCUAUGACUUUGUAGUCCUAUCUGGAUCACUUCCGCAGCCUGCAAUCCCAGCCCCAGCAGCCCCAUCUACUGCCUUGGGCAUUGAAUAGAGUCUUGUCCUGCUUAAUAGCAAAUGCUGCUCAGGCAUCCUGCUAGGUUUUUUACGGCCAGGGUAGAGGAGAGAAGAAAAGAGAAACGGCAGGCUUACAAGCAUCUUCUCUGCCUCUCUAAUAGCUAAGAAGCCUACAUUUCCAAUCUAAUUUAUUUUGGUUUCUGCUCUGAAACUUGGAACCCAGGUACAUUGACAGAUGCAGGAAAGGAGUGACUGUUCCUUGUACAUUCAGUGUGAGAUGUUGAGAACGGUGGGCUUAGGAGAAGGGCCAGAUGACACUACCAUCUUUGCAUUCAUGGACUUCUAAUGUAUACUUUAUCUAUAGUUAGUAUUAAUAAAGUAAAAAAAGAUAUCCAUUUUAAUUUUUGGUAACUAUGCAAAAUCCAUAGGUUUUUUGUUAAAAUAUUAGAAAAUAAACAUAAAUAAAAGACGAAAAUAUUUUUUACAAGCUCAUUUUCCAUUACCUUUGGCAUUUUGGUAAUAUAAUUUUCCAGAAGGUAAACAUUUUGAUAAUGCUUUAAAGUGCCUUUUAAAAGAUACAUAAAAUAUAAAUGAAUACAAAUAGAAUAGUGUUGAAAUCUUAAGUUUACAUUCCCACAUUCUGAACACACUUAGGUAAUGAGCCCCUAGAUCAAGAAACAGAGUGUCACCAGGAUUCCAUUUACAGCCAAUGUUUUUACUGAAUUGGGUGGGUUUACAGUCACUUUGUUACUAUUAAUUUUCUAUUUGUACAAACAGCUUUAUGUUUAUUUUCCUCUCAUUUUUUGAGUUCCUGUGAAUUCAUCUCAUAUUUUUUAUUAUUCCAUUGUUUAAAUCAGCUUGUCAUGUAUCUUUCUUUUGUUUUUUGUUCAUAGUUACUCUAGCUAGUACAAUAUACAUCUUUGAUGUCUUCCUUUCUAAUACAAAUUGUAUUUUACCACUUCUGUGAUGUUGCUAGACCUUUAGAACCUUUCAGCUAUAUUUGUACCACUGCUGCCUUUUGCUUUAGAGUUACUGCCCAUUUUAAGUCUGCGUAUAGUUGAAACUGUACAAGCCGUUACUAUUAUUGCUGUAAUCCAUGGUUGAUAUUCUUUUUGUUUUUGUUUUUGAGAGGGAGCUUCGCUCUUGUUGCCCAAGCUGGAAUGUAAUGGCGCAAUCUCGGCUCACCACAACCUUCGCCUCCCGUGUUCAAGUGAUUCUCCUGCCUCAGCCUCCCGAGUAGCUGGGAUUACAGGCAUGCACCACUACGCCCAGCUAGUUUUGUAUUUUUAGUAGAGAUGGGGUAUCUCCAUGUUGGUCAGGCUGGUCUUGAACUCCUGACCUCAGGUGAUCUGCCCACCUCGGCCUUCCAAAGUGCUGGGACUACAGGCGUGAGCCACCGUGCCCGGCGGAUAUUCGUUUUUAUCUACUCACAUAUGUUCCCUUUCUGAUUAUCUUCAUUAAUCAUGCAAUUCUGUUUCCAUCUACAAUAUUUUCUUCAGACUGGUUAAUUUCCUUUAGUAUUUAUUGUAGUUAAGAUUUGCCGGCCAUCAAUUUGCUCACAUUUUGUUUAGCCAAGUCUUAUUUUAAAAAAAUUUAAUCAUUUUUAUAAGACUUGCACUUUUGUUUAAAUCUUUUGGCCCUUUAAGAAUAGCAUUUCAUUAUCUUUCGUUUCCCGAGAAGUAAGCUCCUGUUACUCUUUCUUUCUUUGAAGGAAUAUUGUUAACCCCUGGUUGUUUUGAAGUAUUUUAAAAAUCAGUUUUACUAUAAUAUGCCUACCAGUGGAUUUUGGGGUAAUUAUUCUGCUUUAGGUUUACUGAUUUCUUUCAUCUCUGUGUUGCUGUCCUCGAUCAGUUUUCAAUCUUCAUCUCUUUGAAUAUUGCUUCUGGAACAUGUCAUCACUCCUAUUGUUUCAGUAUUUCAGUUAUGCUCAUUUUGCUCAUUUUUAGACCUACAAAGUGUGUCCUGCAUGUCUCUUGAUCUCUGGAUGUAUUCUUAGUUCUUUUUCCUCCGUGUGCUUUCCUCUGACUUCUUUUACAGUUCACUAAUUCUGUGUUUAUCUAAAUCCAAUAUGCUCUUAAUAAUUGAUUAAUACUCAGAUAUUGCAUUUUCACUUCCUUAUAGGUUCCAAUUAUACAUGUCAAAAUUUCCAUCUUUUCAUUUAUGUUAUCAUUUUUUCUUCUAUUCAUAACACUAUUAAAUCAGUUUUAAAAGUUUUUGCUGCUAAUUAUAAUACCUAAAUCAUUGGUCUGCUUUUUCUCUUAAUUAGCAAGUAUAGUUUGUUAUGGUAUAUAUAGCAGAUAUAUACCACAUAUCAUAUAUAUACACACACACAUACACACUUGCUAAUUAAGUAUAUAUAGACUUAAGUGUAUAUAUGUGCUAACUAAACAUAUAGACUUAAUUAAGUACAUAUGUGAUAAUUAUGUACACACAUACAUACUUAAUUAGGUUUUGUUAGGGUUACUAUGGCCUUUAGAAUAUGGUCUAGAAUAUAUAUAUAUAUAUAUACACACACACACACACACACACACACACACACACAUAUAUCUUCUUCACCAGCCUAGUGAUUUUUUUGUUUUGCUGUGCACUGCAUAGUGUCUAUAAAAGACUCAAGUGAUAGAUUAUUCCUGCACUUUCACUCUCUUCUGUUGGGCAGAAGGGCGAUGGGCUUAUCUCACUUUGCUAGUGACAUGAGCUGAAUUUGGGCUAGGUUGCUUGUUUUACUAAGGCUCAGAUGGCAGAGGAUGAGAGCAGGGACAGCUGCAUAGGGAGGUCACAGAGAUCUGUGUGGAGAUGUCUCUGAGCUCUUUUCCAAUGGCUAGGAUGCUUUUGAUUAGGAAGGGACUAUGGGGAGUCUGCCGUGGAGCAGCUGCUAUGGAUUUGGGAAGAGAAUAAAGGUGCUAGAGGUUAACGGUGGCAUCAGAACGUUAGCCUAGCCAGACGAGGAGAACUUGGACGCCCUGGGCAUCUGACUGGAACACCAAGGAGCUCACAGCGCUGGAGGAGGGACCUUAUUCUAGAGUCAAGACUCCUCUACAGUCACCUUAACAAAGUCUAAAAUUAAUGAAGCACUUUAAAGAUAAUUUAGGAUUUGGAGAUUGAAUCUUGCCAGCUAGAAGGGCUUGGAUUUUCACAGACCUACACCAUAACAAAAUAUGAAAACAAGACUGCAUUUAAAGGCAGUCCACUUGUAACUGAGUUAGGUUCUAGAAAAAAUAUCCACGGUCUUCUGAUGAUUAUAACAGAAUUCAGAAUUUCUAGAAUGUGUGAUCACAACAUCCAACGUACAAUAAAAAUAUUAUUAACAAAGCAAAGAAAUAGGAUGGCCCAGGUGUUGGGAUUAGAAAACAAAAAAUUCAAAGCAGCUAAUAUAAAUAUGUUAGAGAACUUUAUAAAAUUAAUUUUAAUGAAUGAACAGAUAUGAACUGCCAACAAAGGAAUGGAAUUUAUAAAUAAGAAUAAAAAAGAAAUUCAGGACUAAAAUCCUUAACAAUUUAAAUGAAAAAUUCAUUGGAUGGGUUAAAUGGCACACUGGAAAUAAAAGGAAAAAUUUGAAAUAAUUCAAUACAAUCAUGCAAACUGAAGAACACAGAAGAAAUGGAAAAAAUGAAGAAAAAGGUGUCACUAACCAAUGAGACAACACAGCACAAUAUCCUUGAGUCCCAGAAGGAGUAGAUAAUAAGAAUGUGGUAGUAAAAAUUAUUUGAAAAAAUAAUAGCCAAAUAUUUCCUGAAUUUGAAGAAAAACAUUACGUAGAGAUCUAAGAAGCUUAGCAAUAACUUAAUAGGAUAAAUACAAGGAAAACGUCGUGUCUAUGCAGAUUACAUAAAAAAACAAAGAUGAAGAUCAAAUCUUGGAAACAGCAUAAGCAAAUAAACCUACAGAGGGCCAGCAAUAUGCAUGACGCGACUUCUCAUAAGAAACAACAAAGGCCAAAAGAUAAUAGAGCAACCUUUAAAGAACUGAAAGUAAAAAACAAAAAUGAUGCUAACCCAGAAUUUUAUAUCCAAUACAUACUGCUCGAAUAUGGCUGCAAAAAUAAAGACAUUUUCUGAUAAUCAGAAGUUGUAAGAGUUUGUUUCCAGCAGAACUGCAUUGAAAUAAAUACUAAAGAAUGUGUUUGGGGCCGAAAGGAAACUAUGCCAGAUAAAAAUUGGUAUUUACAGGAAGAAAUGAGGAGUUUAAUACAUUAAAUGUUUACUACAUUAAAUAUAUGAGUCAAUAUAAAAACCAUCUUUUUUUCAAUUAAUUUUGUUCAUAGACAGUUGAUGUGUUCAAGGCAAAAAUAAUAUGACUCCAAGGUAGGGGGCUUAACAUGUGGAAGUAAAAGGUAUAACAAUAACAGCACAGAGGACGGAGCCAGGUUAAUCAAAUUAAACCUUGUCAAAGUUCUUUCAUAUGUGAAAUAUGAAGUAGGAAGAGUGGAGGGCCAGGUGUGAAGUGAUACAAUGUUAAUGCUAAUUAUACUGGGAUAAGGAUGAAUAUUGUAAUCCCUAGAGUAACUACUAAUAUAAUAACAAAGAGGUCUAGCCUAAAAGCUAAUAGAGAAGACACAAUGGAAUGCUGAAAAAUAUUCCAUUGACCUAAAAUAAGACAGAAAAGGAGCAACAGAACAGCAAAAGCCAAAGGAAAAAAUGGAAACAAUUGGUCAGAAGGCAGAUUCACACCAGCCCAUACAAUUAGAUUCCGAGGAAAUGGACUAGAGGUUCUAAUCAGAAAGCAGAGAUGGAAGCCUGGAUUGAAAGGUAAUGCCCACCGGCAUAGCAUGUAGACAACAUGAAUUUUAAAUACAAAUACGCGGAAUGCAAAAGAAAGGAAAAACACAAACUCAGCCUCUCUCUGUUUUGCCCUUGUUCGCCUCAGCCCUGAAAGACUGUGGGAUGUUCCUUGUUGCCCUUCAGGGUCCCAGAGCCAAGACUCCAGCCUCAUUGUCCAAGGAGGCUCAAAACCUAGUGAAUAUCUUGAUGGGAAGACUUGCAGUGCUUUGAGGCAGAUCCCCUGACCUCUGGCCCACCUUUGUUUCCUGAACACAAGACUCCUCAGGUGAUUUCAGCUGACUUUUGGAAGCAUCAGGCCUAGCUCUGAGCUGCAUCCACAGUCUCCUUGCCUGAAUCAGCAAAGGUCCCACGGCAGAAACCGGUUGUGUGCUGAGGUAGCUCCAGCAUGCAGCUCCCUGCUCCUGCCCUAUUCAAUGGCUGCAAGCUUCACUAGUUAGAGUUUCCUCCAGCAGGGCUGGGCCAGGCACUGCCACUGAUCUAAACCCAGAAUCAGCAAAUGUGCCCAUUGGGAAAGAAUAGCUUGCAGGCCUCAGCUCACCUGGGCAGGGCUCUUUUGGGUCUGGAAUUUUAGUGCCUUUAAAAAUAUGAUUUAAAAAAUUUAUUCUGCUUAUUUUAAUUACUGCAGAAGAAGUAUUUUUCUGUUAUGACCUACUACAUUCUACUCAGAAGAAGUUAACAUUUUUCUUUUAAUUCCAGAAGUGAAUUCUGCUGUGCCCCUGCAAGGUGGAGUGUGUUCCCUUUAGCUGAUAGUGCAGAUGAAGGGACAGCUGGCUGAGCAGGUCAGGGUAUGAGGUCCUUCCCUUAAAUGACCGUCUGGUGUGCACUACAGGAUUCAGCGUUAAGGAAAUUGGAUAGGAAUGGGUGCAGAAUGAACAUAUGUCAACUCAAGUCUGUAGAAUCCUUCCAGAACCUUCCAGGGCAAGAGGCAGAUGGAUAACAGAGAUUCCAGUUUCUCCAGUUCAUGCUUCAUCCACAGUGCCAUGCUGUCUGUCUAUUGGUUCAGUUUCAAAAGACACUUAGACUAACCGGAGAGAACCGUUCCUUUCUGGUUGGGGGAACAUGCACAGUCCACGUGGCAUUUUGAAUGAGAGGACUUGGUUCCAUUUGCAGCUCUGUAGUUUGAGCAAAGGUAUGUAAGUCUUUGCAUCCUCUGUUUUUCUAACUGUUAAAUGGAGAAAAGAGAAUCGUGUCUCUCUCGGGGUUGUAGUGAGGGCUAAACAAGUCAGAGUUUGGAGAAGGGCCCUGUGAGUUCUGCAGCCGUGGACUAGUAAAGAUCUGCUCACCUUUAAGGCGCAGACACUUCUCUUCCUCAGGCGGACACCCACGGAAGACUCACUCCAGGAGAAAUAUUGCCUCACUCAUUUUUAUUCUAAAUCGGUAUUCAAUUUCAGGAUUCAUUUAUUUGAUUUGAGAGUCUUUCUCUUGGAUCAAAACAGCAUCCAGAGGUCCGGCCUUCAGAUGAAACGAUCUUCAAGCAAGCAGACACAGCUUGCGCUCCCUCAGGACUGACCAGAGGCUGUGCUUUGGGGAACUCGGACCACUGCGAAAAAUCUGAGAAGUGAUGAUCGUUCCAGGACUGAUCUGACCACCCGGGGCGUCCAGCAUGAUUGGUCGGGGUCCUGCCCGCACCCUCUCACCCCUCCACGCAGAGGCACGGUGGGAGAGGCCCCUGCCCACCCCGGAUGAGCCUGAGACUCCAGCCUGAAAUGAAGUUGCUGAAAUGAGCCCUUUCCCCAGCCGUUCAGCAGCCUAGCUGUUUUACCACUGAAAUAAAGUGUCCAAUUUAUCCUGCCAUUUUGAGGAAGCUGUUUUCAGCUGAGACUCCAGCUGGAUUUAUUUUUAAAAAAGAUUAUUCUGCAGACCAUGGCCAGAACGUGCUGAGAGGCACCCUGGGCAGUUUUCCCUCUGGCCGGCUCUUAUCCGUCCUCCCCAGCAUGGGGAGAUGAGGCUGCCUCAGGCGGCCCAGGCCAGGCAGCUGCCAGGGAGGCUGAGCAGGUCUGGGAUGUGCCAGGCAGCUCUAUGCCCAGCUCAGCUGGGAACCUGACCCGGAAAGGGCUGGAACCCAAGCCUCACCCUCUCCUGCUCUAUUCACUGUGGUCAAGGGAGGAAAGAGACCUGGCGGCUGGGCUUGCAGACAGGCUUCUUGCCCCCAUUCCUCUUCUCAGUUCUCGUGUAUGCCUGGUGGGGUGUUGACAGGCCCCACUGUGGCUGUGCUGUUUGGCAGACUGCCCUGAGUCUCCCCAGUGCCCAUCUCCCUGUAGUCCACGCUGCCCUGGCCUUCCUUGGCCUCCUGAUGGCCCCUGAGUUUACUGGAGUCAAAGGGCCAACCUGCGGACUCAGCACCCUUUCUGCUCCAGGUCUGAGGUUUCUGCUGUGAGUGGUGGCACGCGUCACACCAGUUCUUAAAUAUCUUGAAUAUGACCCUGCUGGGAGCUGCCCUUGUUCUAAGACUGGGGAUGGGGGCAGAGGAGGCAGGAAGGGGAUGGAGCUGCUUGUGGUGGAGAAUGGAGUCCCCGACCUUCUCUCGAGGCCAGCAUCAGCAGACUUCUCCUGGAAAGGGUCAGAGAGCAAAUAUUUCAGACUUUGUGGGCCAUAUGGUAUCUCUCACAACUACUAAAUGCAGGCAUUGUAGCAAACCUUCCAUAGACAGUCGCUAAAAGCGUGGGCUUGGCUCUGUUCAUUGUGGCCUUGUGUUCCCAUAACACUUUCUUUACAGACGCGGGUGGUAGGCUGGAUUUGGUCCCAGGUUCCUGCCCACACCAGCCCCAACAUGGUGCAUGCUGCAGGAAGGCCAAGGAGGGGGCCCUCCCAGUGUGACAAGUGCACAGGCUGUGAGGAGCAUGAGGAUGGCUGAUGCCGCUCUCUGGGAGUGGGAGAAACCUGCUUUUCUGCAUCCUAGCUUGUGACUUGUCACGUGCCCAUAAUGGGACACUCUGCCUGCCUCUCGCCAUGGCCCCCCGCUGGCCACCUCCUUAGAGUUCACAGUCCAGAAAUACGAGGAGCCCGUGGUGGGAGGGGUCCUCACUGCCUCUUUCUCCUGCUUUGUCUGCUUCCCACCCAUGAAACCCUCUCCCUAUUCACACCCAUUGACUGGCUUCUUUAAAUUAGAGGAAAUUUAAUUCCAUACAACAUGCAUGUAUCAGAUAUCUACCUUGUGUUAUGCAGUGAGCUGUGCAUUGGGGGUACAGCCAGGAAACAAAACUGUAGUAACAGCAGCAAGGUCAAGACAGUAGUGAAGUCACUGCUGAAGGCACAGCACUGGCUGGGGAGCUGGGGCCAAGCAGGUGGGCCUGGUUGCUAGAGGGUGGGUCUAGCCCCUUCCUGCUGAUCUUCCAGCAAACUGGGCUUCCGCUCCAUUCAGAGCAAAAUAAGGCAUCCGCACGUGGCUCAGUGUGGCCCUGGCCCCCGCUGGGGCACCCUCUGUGCUGUCCCUUACCCCGCAGAGGUGUGUCUGGUGGAGCUUUUCCACUUUCAAUGGCUUUCACACACCGUGGUGCUCUUGGGCCUGUUACUGGCCCAGCCAUGUCACCUACCAGCAAUGCAGCCUUGGAAAUGCGAAGUCAGCUCUCUAAGUCUUGGUUUCUUCACCUGCAGGUGGGGAUCAUCGUUCCUGUUUUGUAGCGUUGCUCUAGGAUGAAAUGAAGUCAUGAGUGUGGAGCUCUUAUGUGGUAUGGAGCUUUCCUGCCACGUGGCAAUCACUCAAUCUGGGGAAAUGGCCAUUGCUGUAGGCUGAACGUUGGUGUCCCCCCAAAUUCCUAUGUUAAAACUAAUGCCCAAAGUGGUGGUCUUAGAAGGUGGGGCCUUUCGGAAUGAUGAGGCAUGAGGCACAGCCCUCAUGGGUGGGAUGAGUGUCCUUAUGAAAGAGGCCUGAGAGAGCCCUCGUGCCCUUUCUACCACCUGAGGACACAGCGAGAAGACGGCUGCUUGUGAAUCGGGACGUGGGCCUGCACCAGACACUGAAUAUACCAGUGCCUUGAUCUCGGACUCCCCAGCCUCC